rnacentral:misc_RNA from 1 species
UAGGUGCUAUCUGGACAGCAGAAACAGUGUUCGAUGCAUGUACAAGUACCCGUGGUCAUUUGGACUCAGCUACAUGAUAGUAGCGAUUUUGGAAGCCAUCACGAUUUCUGGAGGAACGCUUCUUUCUUGGCUUGUUGCAAGAUGCUUAUGUGGGACUCCAUGUGUGAUGGCAUUUAUCAUUUAUAAAUGGCGAAGGAGACAUUUAUCAGGAUACAAUACCAUUGAAGAAUUCCUUCAGAGUCACAAUAACCUCAUGCCAAUAAGAUAUUCUUAUUCAGACAUUAAAAAGAUAACAGGAGGUUUCAAGGAAAAGUUGGGAGAAGGAGGCUUUGGUUCUGUGUAUAAAGGAAAGCUUCGUAGUGGUCAAUUUGCUGCAGUAAAGAUAUUAAAUAAACCCAAAGAUGAUGGACAAGAUUUUAUCAAUGAAGUUGCUACCAUUGGGAGGAUUCAUCAUGUUAACGUGGUACGAUUAAUUGGUUUUUGUGCCGACAGAACAAAACAAGCUCUUAUAUAUGAAUUCAUG